UACGUAGGGUGCGAGCGUUGUCCGGAAUUAUUGGGCGUAAAGGGCUCGUAGGCGGUUUGUCGCGUCGGGGGUGAAAACCCAGGGCUUAACCCUGGGCUGGCUUCCGAUACGGGCAGACUAGAGGUAUGCAGGGGAGAACGGAAUUCCUGGUGUAGCGGUGAAAUGCGCAGAUAUCAGGAGGAACACCAAUGGCGAAGGCAGCUCGCUGGAACGGUACUGACGCUGAGGCGCGAAAGCGUGGGGAGCGAACAGG
rnacentral:rRNA from 1 species